GACGAACGCUGGCGGCGUGCUUAACACAUGCAAGUCGAACGGUGAAGCGCCUUCCUUUUUGGUGGGUGUGGAUGAGUGGCGAACGGGUGAGUAACACGUGAGUAACCUGCCCCCUUCUUCUGGAUAACCGCAUGAAAGUGUGGCUAAUACGGGAUAUUCUGGGUCUGUCGCAUGAUGGGUCUGGGAAAGAUAUUGUUUCGGUGGGGGAUGGGCUCGCGGCCUAUCAGCUUGUUGGUGGGGUGAUGGCCUACCAAGGCGGUGACGGGUAGCCGGCCUGAGAGGGUGGACGGUCACACUGGGACUGAGACACGGCCCAGACUCCUACGAGGGGCAGCAGUGGGGAAUAGUGCACAAUGGGCGCAAGCCUGAUGCAGCGACGCCGCGUGAGGGAUGGAGGCCUGCGGGUUGUGAACCUCUUUCGCCAGUGAAGCAGGCCUGCCUCGUUUGUGGGUGGGUUGACGGUAGCUGGAUAAGAAGCGCCGGCUAACUACGUG
rnacentral:rRNA from 1 species